rfam:Desulfotomaculum ruminis DSM 2154, complete genome.
GCCUCGAUAGCUCAGUUGGUAGAGCAGCGGACUGAAAAUCCGCGUGUCGCUGGUUCGAUUCCGGCUCGAGGCA